AAAUAACUACUUGUAAAGUAAACAGGAAGUGUUUGUCCGAACUCAACUAGUUUUGUGAGGGAACACAAAUAUAUUUUGCGAUAGACCACAAAAGUUUUGUGAGGGAACGCAAAUAUCUUUGCGAGAGAACGCAGUGUUUUGCGAGAGAAUGCAGAGUUUCUCGAGGGAGUGCAAAAGUUUUGUGAAAGAACGCAUAAAAAAAAAUGUCCUCCUACCCAAACUUUUUUCCACCCACCCCAAAAAAAAUUUCCACCACUCAUGGUUCAUACAGAAACUGCUAAAUGAAAUUCCACGACUUUCAAGGACUUUUCGAGCACUACUUUUUUGGUUUUCAAGGACUAAAAUCAGAGAUCACAAUAUCGCUAUUAUCUUCAAAUUCUAAUAAAUAAAUGAAUAAAACAAAAUUAUACAAAUAACAUGCAGCACAGUCAAAGCAUGCAAUGACUGUGGCAACUUUAACAUUUGAAAGGAUACUAUGGCAAAGUAAUCAAUUUCCUUAUUCAAAAUGUUUUUUUUUUUCAUGAUUUACGUGAAGAGUGAAAUACGGAGCCCCUAAAGGGACCUUUGCAAAAAUAAAAAAUACACAGACUUUCGCGUGCGCACGAGAAACUGUCGCGUGCGCACGAAAAACUAUCGCGUGUGCACGAGAAACUAUCGCGUGCGCACGAGAAACUUUCGCGUGCUCACGAGACACUUUCGCGUGAGCACGAGAAAUGUAUUGGAAACUAUCUCGUGCGCACAAGAAACCUAUGACGUGCACACGCCGUCGCAAUUUCCGGUUUAGGCAUUUUGAUUUAGCAUCAUUACUAAUGUGGGGGUGAGAGUGUUUAGAACUUAAUUUUUCAAAAGAUUGCAACAUGGAAGAAGAUUUUAUUGAUUUUUUGAGGUCCAGAGAUAUUUCUCAAGAUUCUAUUGAGAAAAUAAAAGAGGAUAAGAUCAACAUAAGUGUCAUUGCAAUUAUGACUGAAGACGAACUUGCAAAAUAUAUUGUUAGAUAUGGGGAUCGUCUUGCAGUUAGAGCAUUUUGCCGUCAAAGACUCGCAGCAUGUGAAACCACCAAAUCCACUGCACUGCAGAGAUUAAGAGACAAGAUCCAAAAAAGAGGCAGUACAUCAGCAAAUGACGGGGGUUUAUUAAGCAAACUUUCAGGUAUCGGCAACAAACAUGCAUCUAAAGAGACAAGACGACUGGAAAUUGGGUGGAUUAAUUUUCAUAAAGGAGAAUUUCACCAGGUUCGGACAAGACAUGGAGGAGGAACGCGACAUGUGACGGUUAAAAAGAAUACUUCGGUUGAGGAACUGAUGAGGAUUGGGAAGGAUUUGUUUUUUCCUAAAGGGGUUUCUUCAAAAGGCCCAGCUGCAAGCUAUACUUUUGAGAUGCGAGAUUUCAGUCAGACCACAAUUCCAUUCAGUAUUACAGUGAAUGAACUAUAUGAGCAGAGUAAACUCAGAAUGCUACGAAUGUACGUAUGCACGAUGGAAAAUGAUUUAGUCAAUUCUCCCCAAGUUUCAUCAGACUCGUCCUCAGAUUUAGCUCUUGACAAACUGGAACGAGAUCCAAGAGUGGUAAGUUAUGGAUUAAAUAAAGUAAUUUAUGUGCAUGUCUGUUGUGUAUCUAUUUAUAUAUAGAGAGAGAGAGAAUGGGUUAAUAAUGUUAUGUACACUGUAUAUCUUUAGGUGUUUAUAUGCUUCCUGUGUAUCUAUCUAUUUAGAGAGAGAGAGAGAAUGGUGUACGUUAAUUUGGAGAGAGAGAGAAUGGGUUAAUAAUGUUAUAAUGUACACUGUAUAUCUUUAGACGUUUAUAUGAUUUCUAUGUAUCUAUUUAGAUAUAGAAAGAGAGAGAGAGAAAAUGGGUUAAUAAUGUUAUUAUGUACACUGUAUAUCUUCUGAUGUUUAUAAGCCUCCUUUCAACAGACAGAGAGUACUAGGAGAACCAGAAGAAUGGCAAGAAUAUUAGGACAACCACUUCUCCAAACAAGUAAACCUGUACCUGUCAGUCAUUCAUCACUCAUUGAAGAGGAGGAUAGCUUCUCUACCAGUCAAAAUUCCAGAGAGGAAAAUUGGGCAUCCACUCCUGAUGACCAUGAAUCUGAUGAUGUGGUGUGUUUGAGCGGAGAGCCAGGGUCAUUCGUUGAUGUGUCUUAUGAUCUAGAACUGGAGGACUCAGAGAUCCAGAUUGGAAUUGCACAUGAUAAUUUUGCCAUUUUGGAUUCCACUCUUUCCUGGAAUACAGAAGAUGGGGAUCCUAGACAGGUAGUUAUAUGUAUGAUAUUAUAUAACUUUUUUUUUACUAUGAUUAUUUAUUUAUUUUACAUAAUUUAAACCCUUAAAGGGAUAGUACGCUUAAAAUCUGUUAUUUAUUCUAUUUGGAUUUUUUUUCUUCUACUGUGGAACACAUCAGGAGAAUCUUUGAAUCUUUUUACACUGUAAAUAAUAGUAUAAUAUAGCUUGUGGUUCAUUUUUUCUCACUUUGGACGGUUCACUUUAGAAAUUCAACCUAAUUUUUUUCCACAAAUUCUCAUUUUGUGUUUUAUGGAAACAAAGUCGAACAGGUUUGAAAUGACAUUAUUACAGAAUUGUCCUAUUACAUAUAAAUUAUUACAGAAUUACUGUAUCAUUUUAACAUUUA
ensembl:lncRNA